rnacentral:rRNA from 1 species
AUAGAGACUCAGAGCUGCAUAUCAAUAAGCGGAGGAAAAGAAACUAACAAGGAUUCCCUUAGUAACGGCGAGUGGAGCGGGAAGAGCUCAAAUUUGAAAUCUUCAAGGUUCUACCUUGACGAAUUGUAGUUUAAAGAAGUGUUUUCUGUUAGAUGAGUAGCAAAAGUUCCUUGGAAUAGGACAUCAUAGAGGGUGAGAAUCCCGUAUUUGACCAUUAUUUCCAGCUUUGUGAUACACUUUCAAAGAGUCGGAUUGUUUGGGAAUGCAGUCCAAAAUGGGUGGUAAAUUUCAUCUAAGCUAAAUAUUGGCGAGAGACCGAUAGCGAACAAGUACCGUGAGGGAAAGAUGAAAAGAACUUUGAAAAGAGAGUUAAAUAGUACGUGAAAUUGUCAAAAGGGAAGCGUUUGACACCAGUGUUGUUUUUCCGAAAAUCAAUUAAAAAAGGCUGGAUUUUGUGUUGUAUUGACUUUAUCAGCUUUCUUCACUUUUUUCGAGUCUUUCUUAAUGCACUUUUCGGUUAACAAGUCAACAUCAAUUUCUUUUGUUGUAAAAGGGUCAUUGGAAGGUGGCUUUCUUUUCGGAGAAAGUGUUUAUAGCCUUUGGCCUCUGCAAUCGGAGAGAUUGAGGUCUGCAGCGUAGAUCCUUCGGGGUUAGAUACAUUUGUGCUAAGUUAUAGCCUUUCAUAGACAACUUGUUGACUAUGAUUCAGUCAUGUCGCUUACUCGCUUAUGCUAUUUUACCUACGCUUAGGAUGUUGACGAUCAGCUGAGCGCG